CCAAUAGCGUAUAUUAAAGUUGUUGCAGUUAAAAAGCUCGUAGUUGAAUUUCGGGGUUAGUAGGUUGGUCAUGCCUCUGGUAUGUACUGGUCUCACUGAUUCCUCCUUCCUGAUGAACCUUAAUGCCAUUAAUUUGGUGUUUUGGGGAAUUUGGACUGUUACUUUGAAAAAUUAGAGUGUUUAAAGCAAGCUAACGCUUGAAUACAUUAGCAUGGAAUAAUGAAAUAGGACGUUCGAUCCUAUUUUGUUGGUUUCUAGGAUUGACGUAAUGAUUAAUAGGGAUAGUUGGGGGCAUUAGUAUUCAAUUGUCAGAGGUGAAAUUCUUGGAUUUAUUGAAGACUAACUACUGCGAAAGCAUUUGCCAAGGAUGUUUUCAUUAAUCAAGAACGAAAGUUAGGGGAUCGAAGACGAUCAGAUACCGUCGUAGUCUUAACCAUAAACUAUGCCGACUAGGGAUCGGAUGAUGUUAAUUUUUAAUGACUCAUUCGGCGCCUUACGAGAAA
rnacentral:rRNA from 1 species